AACCAUAGAAACCUGCGGAGUACCUGCGGAGGGAUCAUUAUAGUAUAUGGAAUCUCCAUUCUAUAAACCCACUCUGCGUAUCUUGUAACUGUUGCUUCCAUGGGACUUGGUUCCGCCACACCGGCUUCACGGCUGGUGAGCGCCCAUGGAAGGAGAAACAAAACUCUUCUUUGAAACGUAGUCAGUCUGAACAAGUUUUUAUAAACGUUAAAACUUUUAACAAUGGAUCUCAGAUCGGAA
rnacentral:misc_RNA from 1 species